rnacentral:rRNA from 1 species
UCAACGCUGGCGGCGUGCCUCAGACAUGCAAGUCGAACGAUUAAAGCUCUCUUCGGAGAGUGUAUAGAGUGGCGCACGGGUGAGUAACACGUAAGUAAUCUACCUUUGAGUGGGGAAUAACGUCCGGAAACGGACGCUAAUACCGCAUAAUGCAGCGGCAUCGCAAGAUGACAGUUGUUAAAGAUUUAUCGCUUGAAGAGGAGCUUGCGGCAGAUUAGCUAGUUGGUAAGGUAAUGGCUUACCAAGGCUACGAUCUGUAACCGGUCUAAGAGGACGGUCGGUCACACUGACACUGAACAACGGGUCAGACUCCUACGGGAGGCAGCAGUCGGGAAUUUUGGGCAAUGGGCGAAAGCCUGACCCAGCAACGCCGCGUGAAGGAUGAAGUAUUUCGGUAUGUAAACUUCGAAAGAAUGGGAAGAAUAAAUGACGGUACCAUUUAUAAGGUCCGGCUAACUACGUGCCAGCAGCCGCGGUAAGUCUCGCGUGA